rnacentral:rRNA from 1 species
UACAGAGGUCCCGAGCGUUGUUCGGAUUCAUUGGGCGUAAAGGGUGCGUAGGCGGCGGGGCAAGUCUGAUGUGAAAUCCCGGGGCUCAACCCCGGAACUGCAUUGGAUACUGCCUUGCUUGAGUACUGGAGAGGGAACUGGAAUUUACGGUGUAGCAGUGAAAUGCGUAGAGAUCGGGAGGAAGGCCGGUGGCGAAGGCGGCGCUCGUGGAACCGUUUCUGACGCUGAGGCUCGAAAGCGUGGGGGAGCCAAACAGGG